rnacentral:lncRNA from 1 species
UUUUGCAUAAAAAAUUCACUUAUUUUGGGUUUUUGCAAAACCGGGCCACCUUUUUCGUUUUUGCAGAUUCGGUCCACUUUUUCAGCAAACUGACCAAAAUACCCUUAUAUAUUUUUCUCUCUCCUCUUUUUUUUCUCCUCCUUUCUUCGAUCCCGUCGCCGCGAACCCCAGCCCUAGACCGACUCCCCCUCUCCCCCUCGCCUCCUCGUCCUCGGCCCCACCCCUACCGCCUUCGCCGCCGCCGCCGCCAACGUAGGAGGAGCGACAGCGUUGGUG